ACGGGGCCCGCACAAGCGGUGGAGUAUGUGGUUUAAUUUCGAUGCAACGCGAAGAACCUUACCUGGUCUUGACAUCCCGGAGACCCUUAGGAAACUAGGGGUGCUUCCAUCUGGAAGAAUCUGGAGACAGGUGCUGCAUGGCUGUCGUCAGCUCGUGUCGUGAGAUGUUGGGUUAAGUCCCGCAACGAGCGCAACCCUUGCCUUUAGUUGCCAGCAGUUCGGCUGGGCACUCUAAAGGGACUGCCGGUGUUAAACCGGAGGAAGGUGGGGAUGACGUCAAGUCCUCAUGGCCUUUAUGACCAGGGCUACACACGUACUACAAUGGCCGAUACAAAGGGCAGCGACACUGCGGGGUGAAGCCAAUCCCGUAAAAUCGGUCUCAGUCCGGAUUGGAGUCUGCAACUCGACUCCAUGAAGUUGGAAUCGCUAGUAAUCGUGGAUCAGCAUGCCACGGUGAAUACGUUCCCGGGCCUU
rnacentral:rRNA from 1 species